AGCAAGUUGGCGCAGUGGAAGCGCGCCGGGCUCAUAACCCGGAGGUCCCCAGAUCGAAACUGGGACUUGCUA
rfam:Botryotinia fuckeliana T4 unplaced genomic scaffold BcT4_SuperSuperContig_E2_V3__V4, whole genome shotgun sequence.